rnacentral:sRNA from 1 species
AGGAGGAGGAGGAGCCUGGAGCUGCCUUUAUCUUUGUAAGAGCCUAGCAGAUUGGAAUAUUUGUUAUGUUAAGGCCAUGCAGGCUUAACGAAGCGUCAAGUUCUUUGCUGGAAUUUUAACCAGAACCAGCCCUGUUAACAAUCCUGCCCAGCGGCUGGGAGCCUGACUGUGUGGAAGAAAGAGCACUGGGCCAAGAGUUCAAAGUCCAGGACUCAGCGCUGGCCUGUCUCUUCCUUCCUGGCCCCCUCUGGGGGCUGCAAAGCCAGCCCCACUCAGAGUAAAGGUCUCUGCGACUAUCCAGGCUGGAGCCUCACUUCUGUUCGCCCUAAAUUGCUUUUAUCAACUUGAGGAUGGGACAGCUCAGGCUUGCCUCUGUGGGCCACCUCCCUCUGCUGUCCCAGCGUGAUCAUGGGCACCUUUCCCCAGGUCCUCUAGUCUUGCUUAGGCAGCCAGCUGCCACCUGUGUGAGGGGUGGCUGGGCGUGCUGCCCGGAGCUGAGGAGAACCUGUCCCUGAGGAAAUGGCCCAGGCCUUCUUGUUCAGCCAGAAAUUCCAGCCUUUGAAGGAUCCGGGCGGAGAGGGGCCUUUUCUAGGCUGCUUUUCUAGAGCUGUUUUUCCAGCCUGGCAUUAGCACCCAGCCUUAAAGAAAACUUCCCUGGUCUUUAAUUGGGUUUUCUGGAAAGGUGUUGGCCUUCGCCACCUUGUAGGGAGGUUCUGUCCCCCACACCCUCCCCCCCACAAAGUUUUUGGGAAGGAAGGAUCUCUGGUUGGCUGGGAACUUGCAAUGUAGUCCCAGAUGGCCUUGAACUUCUGACUAUCCUCCUGACUCAGCCUUCCAAGGGCUGGGAUUGCAGAUAUGUGCUACCACCACCUGUUUAGGAAUACUUCUUAAAAUCAGCUUUAUUGAGGUCUACUUGCACAUAUGUAUCCAUUUGAGGCACGCUGACCAAUGAUGGAUACAUGUGUCUGUGUAGGUGCCAUGUGGAUCAAGUCAUAGAGCAUUUUUGACAUCUUACAAGUUUCCCUCAUGGCUACUGCUCGAUCACUAGGAUCCCCACUCCAGGCAACCAGGUUCACUACAGACCUGCUCAAAUGUCUCAUGUUCCUCACGGUGCACCUGCGAGUCAUCCACAACAUUGCAUGGAAAGAAAGAAAGCAACAAGAAGACUCCAUAAAAAUGGAAGUCAAAACACACGGGUCAAAGACCGAUAGGAUAAAAAGAAGAACCAAAAGUCUGCAGAAGCACCACAGAGUUCAUUUUGUGUUGGCUAACUAUACUCGGGCAUGGGGCUUGCUCCCUAGAGUUUGAUUGAUACACCCAGUGACCCUCCGCUAGGGAAAAGAAGGCAUCAAUGGCAGCCUCCUGACUGCUGGGGUAUUUGUUUCAUUUCCUAAGAAACUGUGCAACUGUUUCCAGAAGUGACUGUACCACCUACAAGUGGGAAGGGACCAUGACUGUAACAUCCCUGCCCAGAUCCUGACCUUUUCUCUGCCUGAGACCAAGCAGGGAGUUUUGCUCUUCUGUGAACUGUUCCAGACCUCUGUCCAGCCUAGCUCUGGGCCCUGUGGGCCACUCAGAAUUGCUCCUUGUGCCUCUGUAAUUAUUCAUUUCCUACCAUAUCGUGCGUGUCCUAUAUCCUCUGCAAACAUUGCGUUCCCUGAUGAACUCCACUCCCAACCAUCUAUCACACUCCUUUAGGAUCCAACCAACCGUCACCUCCUUGGACUCCAGCGAAGGCAUAAACCCAGUCAUCAAACAUCCCUUUCUUAGGCUUCUGUCUUAGUUGAUUUUCCGUCAUUAUAGCAAAAUACCCAAGACUGGGUCAUUUAUGGAUAAAAGAGAUUUAUUCGUGAUCAUAAUUCCGGAGUUCGGGAAGUCCAAGAUUGGGCCACUGGAUCUAGGAAGAGCUCCAUUCCGCUUCAAACAUGGCAGAAAGCAGAAUGGCAUAUGGGCGUGAGUUGAAGAGAGAAAAUCACGCCAAAGCCCUUUGGAUGUUAAUUCAUUCCCACGAGAGGAACAUCAACAUCUUAGUAAACAACCUGCAACCCAAGGACUUCCCACUUAGGCCUAUAACAACACCGCCAUAUUGAGGAAGCAAGGUUUCAGCCCAGGAAGUACACUGACACCUCAGGCAGUUCCUGGUCACCUCGUAUGCAUCCCUGGCACCUGGGAGAUUCAUCCCAGAGACUUGCCAGUCUUCACUACUCAUCAUGGGCACAUGAGCUUUACAGGGACAAUGUCUUGGUCAUAUGCGCUGUCAUACAUUCACCUGGCCAAGAGCUUUGUUUGUGCUAGUGAGAGAGGUGGCACACCAUUCUGCAGGCUGUGCUGCUUUGGAUAAUAAACAACCCUCUCUGGUUCUCUUGCUCACCUCUAACACUGAGGUAACAGUCACUCCACUGAGGCAGAUGGAGAUGAAAUCAAUUCUUCUAAAAUAGGAGAAGCUGGACUCUCUCAGCUCAAGCCCUUGGCAGCCAUCGCCGGCCAUCGUUCGAGUGAUCAGCAGGCCUGUGGAAGUGUUUUCUGAGUGGCGAGCAAAUGGGAUCCUGCAGAGGUGAACACAGCAAUUUCCAGUCAUAAGAAACACUCGGUAUUGGAAUCCCCGUGUUGUAAAGGGAAUCUUCAAGACAGGUCCUGGAACCUAUCACCUGCACUGGCAGGACACUGUCUUGUUUGUGGGUGGCAAGCAACUGAAUUUUCAGGUUGAACAGAAAGUGUUCGGCUGAGGAGAGGCGACUGCGGGUGGGGUCACGUGCUCACAGAAAGAAGGGCAGCGAUUCAUCCCUAUGAGAAGUUGGGGAACCCGAGAUUACUCAGCUGCUAAAUUACAGAGAACCCAGCAAUGAAGGAGCCAGUUUGAGGGCACCCUUUAAGUACAGACCACUGUCUGUAUCCAAAAAGCUAAUUUCAAGACCCUGGAGUGCUGGGGCCAGGGGAAGCUCAGCUGAAGGUAUAUGCCUGAGUUUUACCCCAGAACCCAGGUGAAAAGCUGGAUGCGGCAGGGCACACAUCUGUAACGUGACGCUCCUGGUCUGGCACAUAGCACACUGGCACAGGUAAAAGAAACUCCCUAGGAGCCUGCACAUGUGUGCCAUG